rnacentral:misc_RNA from 1 species
AAGGGCUAGUGUUGAAGGAUUUUGAUUGUCAAUAUGCAUUUUUUCAUUUUUUUUCCCCAACGCUUUUGUUGAUUCAAUAGAAUAUAUAGAAAAGAUAAAAUUGUGGUUCUUCCACCUUCGAAUCCCUCAAGAUGAUAAGAGAGGAUUGUAUUUUGUAGAUAGUGUAAGCCUGGUCCACCUGGGCUUAUUAAUUUCCUGUAAUCCACAAUGUCAUUAAUCCACUGGCUAUUCUUGGUGAUUUUGAUUCGAAGGUGGAAGAACCACAAUUUUA